rnacentral:misc_RNA from 1 species
UGCUUUUCCUCAUUUUCAUGCCACACAAAACCAGAGAACCGGGAUAUAUUACUCUUGAUCUGAAUUGCCUUCCCUCUCCUCCCAAAAAGAAUUGUAUGAAGCAGCUUAAAGGUAUCAUCAGUCUUCCUUCUGGAUAACUUGAAUGCAACAUUAGGUAUAUCUUUCAGUGGGGUACCACGGCCCUUUUCUAUAUGGAAUUCCUUGGUUGCAUCUCUCUCAAUAGAUGCCACCAGCCUUUCAACA